UUCAUUUGAUUUUUCUGCAAAUUUCUGUUUUCAUUGGUAGACAACCCAAAUGGGUAUUAAGGGUUUAACUAAGCUUUUGUCGGACAAUGCUCCAAAGUCCAUGAAAGAGAACAAAUUCGAGAGUUACUUCGGUCGCAAGAUCGCUGUUGACGCCAGCAUGAGCAUUUACCAGUUCCUUAUUGUCGUUGGAAGAAGCGGAACCGAAAUGCUCACUAAUGAAGCUGGUGAAGUUACCAGUCAUUUGCAAGGGAUGUUUUCGCGGACAAUCAGACUUCUAGAAGCUGGGAUGAAGCCAGUAUAUGUUUUUGAUGGAAAGCCACCAGAUUUGAAGAAACAAGAGCUGGCAAAACGUUAUUCGAAGAGGGCAGAUGCUACUGAGGAUUUAUCAGAAGCCUUAGAGAGUGCCAAUAAAGAAGACAUUGAGAAAUUCAGUAAACGGACGGUGAAGGUGACAAAGCAGCAUAAUGAUGACUGCAAAAGACUUUUAAGACUUAUGGGCGUUCCCGUUGUUGAGGCACCCUCAGAAGCAGAGGCUCAAUGUGCUGCACUUUGCAAAGCUGGAAAGGUUUAUGCUGUGGCUUCUGAAGACAUGGAUUCCUUAACAUUUGGUGCUCCUAAAUUUCUUCGCCACUUAAUGGAUCCAAGCUCAAAAAAAAUUCCAGUGAUGGAAUUUGAAAUUGCAAAGAUUUUAGAGGGGCUAAAUCUGACCAUGGACCAAUUUAUUGACGUAUGCAUUCUUUCUGGCUGUGAUUAUUGUGACAGUAUUCGAGGAAUUGGGGGACAGACAGCUUUGAAACUCAUACGUGAACAUGGCUCGAUUGAAAAUAUGCUGGAAAAAAUAAACAAAGAGAGGUACCAAAUACCAGAUAAUUGGCCAUAUCAGGAGGCCCGACAGCUUUUUAAAGAACCGAUGGUCUUAACUGAUGAAAAGGAACUUGAUAUUAAGUGGACUGCUCCAGAUGAAGAAGGGUUAAUAACAUUUCUGGUAAAUGAGAAUGGCUUCAAUAGUGAUAGAGUGACUAAGGCAAUAGAAAAGAUUAAAGCAGCAAAGAACAAAUCAUCACAAGGCCGAUUGGAAUCAUUUUUUAAACCCACAGCAAAUCCAUCAGUACCGAUUAAACGCAAGGAAAUCAAAUGCAUGCUUAGAUCUUUCAAACCAGCAAUUGAGCGUAAGAUGUUCUCUCUGCAAACUUGUAACUGGUCAAGGCCCAUGGGUUUUGGCAACUUUAGCUUGCCAAUGUAUAAUCUGGGUUCCGAGCUCCAUACCUUUGUCUAGAGGUGUCUGAUUUGGUGCCUGAAGCUGAAUAUCCCUGGAAACACCAUCGAAUAAUGCUAAAGAAACUAACAAAAAGGCCAAGGGUGCUGGUGGUAGGAAGAAGAAAUAAUUUGCUGUGUCUUGAUGAGUUAGUCUGAAGGAGGAUCAAAUGCGGUACUUCAUUUUACAGAGAUAGUCUCAAUCCUCCAUUAAUGGAUGUAAUUUAACCAGUUUCCUUUCCUGCUGCAUUCCAUGACUAUUUCACUUAAUUUUGUCAAUUCUGGAUAUUUGGACGCACCCAGUUGUAUUUACUAGUUACUAUA